GAGAGGUACAAGCCAAGUCACCCAGAAGAGGCCAAAGUCCCCCAAGGAAGUCCUGGAGCAAGGUGGUAUAUGGGUAGGCUGAGAGGAUUUUAAUGGGCAGAGUUUAGGGGUAGGCUGGGUGCAUUUGGGAAUACAAAAGGCUGAUUUGUGCUUCUCUUUCUGUUCAAAUUGUCUCUUCUACCUAGUUAGAAUAACCUUCCCCUCCUCCUUCAAGACUCAGCUCAAACUGUCCCCUCCUUAAGUAGCCCUCCUUGAUCCUUUUCUAGAGAAGACUAGUAGCCCUUCCUUUAGGACCCCUUACCCACCCAUAACAAUACUGGCUGUAAUUGGAUGUAAUUUUUGUGAGAUUGUCACCCACAAAGUUCAGACCCAAAGUAGUGACAUGAUCAAAGAAACAGUCGACCACCAAAAGCUAAUUUAACAAUAAUUCUUGGACAAUGAAAAAGUGAUCCUAGCAGUGCCUCAAAUUCCUCCCACACACCUACAGCCGUUCUCUACUUCUGAUGUUACUGUUCUCUACUUCUUUAAAAACAAAAAUAACUCUUUCUCCAGUUCUAGCCCUUAGGCUUCAGGGAGGGAAAGAAAGUCAGGUUGCUGGGCUUUCUUGACCUUGGGCUCAGCAUCAUCCACAAGGACAAGCAGGGAGAAAAUGAAGAGAGAGUUACUAAGGAAAAGAGACUUAAGAACAUGCGUGAUCUUCAGAAAUGAUCAUUCUGAUAGCUUUUAGUGCCCCACCUAGUUUUAGCUCUGGUUGAAGCACAUACACUAGAACUGAAUCGGACUCUGAGACAAAGGAGAGGUCCAGGCAACAACUGCUACUAGACAAGGAGGAAGGGACAGCAGCAUGGUCCCCCAGCCAGAGCAUCCUCUCCAAGCCCCACAGCCCCAACAAGCAGCUCAGGAAAGGAAGGAGGGAGCAGAGUCAGAGUUUAGCUUUCAGGCUUCAGGUGCCAUGCUGGCAAGAAGCCUCAGCGCGGGGACUCACUGGCCUGCAGCAGGAGAGGGGAGUCCAGCCUAGCCCCAGCCCUGCUCCAAAGAAAAGGCCUCCCGGGGACCUGGGUGGCAUGGGGCAGGGCGGGGUGGGAUGAAAAGCCAGAGGUGGACCAUAACCAGGAAGAAGGACACUGUGGAUAUGACUAUAAUUGAGAGGAGGAAAGGAGCAAUGCUCAUGGAUUGUUCUCUGAGGCUCCAGAAUGGGAAUUUUUACCAGCAAGUGAGAGGGUAUAAGCUAUUCAUUCUGCAACUUUUUGCUGAUCACCUACUUUGUGCCAGGCACUGAGCAAGGUCUUCAAGGAGUUUGCAUUCUAGUGAGGAAAACAGGGAAAAGAAGCAAUAAAGUUAAAUACAGGCUGCUAUGAGAGCACUUAGAAAAACAGAAAGGCCAUCUAAUCCAGAUUUGGAAGUUCAAGGCAGGCUUGCAGAGGAAAUGAUUUUUUUUU